rnacentral:rRNA from 1 species
GACGAACCGUGCGAACGUUGUUCGGAAUCACUGGGCUUAAAGGGCGCGUAGGCGGGCUGUCAAGUCCGGGGUGAAAUCUUUCGGCUUAACCGGAAAAGUGCCUUGGAUACUGAUGGUCUGGAGGGAGGUAGGGGUAUGUGGAACUUCCGGUGGAGCGGUGAAAUGCGUUGAUAUCGGAAGGAACGCCGGUGGCGAAAGCGACGUACUGGACCUCUUCUGACGCUGAGGCGCGAAAGCUAGGGGAGCGAACGGG